rnacentral:rRNA from 1 species
GGGGGGGGGGGGGGGGGGGGGGGGGGGGGGGGGGGGGGGGGGGGGGGGCCCGUGGGGGGUGGUGGGGUGGGGACCGGGUGAUUGGAGCGUGGGGCGCGUGCACGUGGCGUGGGGGGGACUGCGGGGAACUCGGGCGAAUACGGGAUGGGCAGCCUGUCUGCAUGGAGGGCGUUGGAACGCUCCGGCGGUUUUGCAUGGACUCGCGGCUGAUCAGAUUGUCGGUGGGGUAGUGGCUUACCCAGGCGUGGACGGGUCGCCGGCCUGAGAGGGCGACCGGCCACAUUGAGACUGAGAUACGGCCCAGACUCCUACGGGAGGCAGCAGUGGGGAAUAUUGCACAAUGGGCGAAAGCCUGAGGCAGCAACGCCGAGUGCGGGAUGACGGCCUUCGGGUUGUAAACCGCUUUCAGCAGGGGCGAAGCUUGUGGUGACGGUACCUGCAGAAGAAGCACCGGCUAAGUACGUG